CCUGUCCGGUUCGAGGAGGAGAGAGAACGAGAGCUUCGGGAAGCGGGCGUCGCUGAGGGAAGGGGGCGUCGAGGGAGAGAGGGGAGAGCUGAGGAGAGGGAACCUCGAGGGGAAGUAGAGCUGGGGGGCCAGUCAUCCACAGAAAGAGAGAGAGCGUUAAGGGGGCACAUCCAGGAAAACAAAGAGAGGGCUGAUCUGAGGCGUCUAGGUCGAGAAAGAGAGCUUAGGGGGACUAUCCAGCAGGAGAGAGCGAGAUUAGAAGAGAGGCUCCUUUGGAGGGAGAGAGAGAUAAGGGGAAUCAUCCAGGAAAGAGAGAGAACUCUGGUGAGGUACCUACUGAGGGACAGAGAAAGCGUUGUAACCCACCCAAUCCAAGACUGGGGGUUGAGGGAGAGAGUAGAACCGAGGUACCCUAGAACAGACAGGGAGGAGAGGAACUUGGUCCAGGAAGAGAGACCCAGAGAGGUUAAUUUACUCCCAGAAGAGAGGGAGCUCCUCGAGGAGAGGUUACCCUUUAGAGAGAGCAGUUUUAGGGGGAUCUUCCACCAAGAAAGAGAGACAGUCAACGACAGGUUUCUCAGCCCUAGGGAGAGGGAGGGAACCUUCAGGAGGCAAUCCUGGAGGGAUAGGGAGAGAGAGCCCAGGGGGAGCGAUCUAAGGGAGAGAGAGUCCAGGGGGAGCGACUUGAGGGAGAGAGAGUCCAGGGGGAGCGACCUGAGGGAGAGAGAGUCCAGGGGGAGCGUUCUGAGGGAGAGAGAGCCCAGAGGGAGCGACCUGAGGGAGAGAGAGUCCAGGGGGAGCGUUCUGAGGGAGAGAGAGUCCAGGGGGAGCGACCUCAGGGAGAGAGAGUCCAGAGGGAGCGACCUCAGGGAGAGAGAGCCCAGAGGGAGCGACCUGAGGGAGAGAGAGUCCAGGGGGAGCGACCUGAGGGAGAGAGAGCCUAGGGAGAGCGACCUGAGGGAGAGAGAACCAAUCUAUAGUUUGUUAGCCAGAGAUCUGUGGGAGAUUGACGAGGAGUCAACUGAGACAGACAGACGUCCCUGGAGGAUAGAAGAGAGAGAGAGGGGACUGAGAGGGGACAUUCAGAGGGAGUUACUGAGAAGUGAAGAGAGGCAGAGAGAGAGAGAGAGAACGCUGAGGAGCAGCAUCCUGCGGGACACAGCAAGAGCUGAAAGAAGGACUAUAAGAAGGGAGAGAGAGCUGAGAGGGGCCAUCCAGAGUGAUCUAUCAAGAACUGAGAGGAGGUUUCUGACAAGGGAGAGAGAGCUGAGGGGAAAUAUCCAGUUAGAGAGAGAGAGGGGGGGGGAUGUGUUUCUAGAUAGGAAAAGAAGGAGGGAGCUUCAGGAGGACCCUGAAAGGACCACUCUUCCACCAGUGCGUCGCCCCAGAGGGCCUGAGAGAUAG
rnacentral:lncRNA from 1 species